CUCCUACGGAGGCAGCAGUGGGGAAUUUUGGACAAUGGGGGCAACCCUGAUCCAGCCAUGCCGCGUGAGUGAAGAAGGCCUUCGGGUUGUAAAGCUCUUUCAGCGGGGACGAUAAUGACGGUACCCGCAGAAGAAGCCCCGGCUAACUUCGUGCCAGCAGCCGCGGUAAUAC
rnacentral:rRNA from 1 species